UACGAAGGGGGCUAGCGUUGUUCGGAAUCACUGGGCGUAAAGCGCACGCAGGCGGCUUGAUAAGUCAGGGGUGAAAUCCCGGGGCUCAACCUCGGAAUUGCCUUUGAUACUGUCUGUCUUGAGUCCGGGAGAGGUGAGUGGAAUUCCUAGUGUAGAGGUGAAAUUCGUAGAUAUUAGGAAGAACACCAGUGGCGAAGGCGGCUCACUGGCCCGGUACUGACGCUCAUGUGCGAAAGCGUGGGGAGCAAACAGG
rnacentral:rRNA from 1 species